ensembl:lncRNA
AAACACGGUGCUUCAGUGGCACAGAAAUGCAAGAGGUGGCGGCCUGGCCAUUGUUUAGGAACCGGGCCAUACGGACAGGUGGAUCUACCCUGCGGAUUGCCGUAAUAGGGUUAUACUGCACUUCUCUUGAUGCUCCUGCCUUUUCCCUCCUCGACUUUGUCUUGUUGUCUCUUAGUGCACUACAGUACGAUCAAUCAGGCAAUUUCAACGCAGGAUUUUUAUUCGGUUAACUGUGAGUCACUUUCAUCCACUUUCCCCAGCCCCACCCCUUGAAAGAAUUAGGGAUUUUCUAUUUAUUUAUUAAUCUAGUGAAUACAGUUAUCCCAUUAGUAUAUCCUUUUAAAGUCCCUGGUAAUACCUAAGAAAAACUAAUAGAGGUGCUUUGCUUUUUUUUUUUUUUCAGUGAAUUAAUGUUAGUGACGUUCUGCAGACCUGUGAGUGGUCAUUUACGGCACCGCGGCUGCUGGCAGGCAUCGCACGCAGCACUGAAGUUCUGCGGCAGCUUCCCUCGCUCUAGAAUAGCUGUGCACGAGCACAGACCUCACCAGGUGCACCCCAAUCAGCAGGUUGAAUUAAGCAAAACAGCUGAGGACACUGAAAGAUUUACAGGAGCCAAACUCACCAGGAAAGGGAGAGGCAUGCGGUGGGGGCAGGCAUCGCAUCCCAGCACCCAGCCACCAAGGAUUUACAGACGUGCUGUCCGGUGCCCACAGUGUUCACAAGGAAAGAUGGUACCAACGUGAGCUGUGGUUGGGCCUCGUCUGAUACAAGAGAUCUGCUGAGAUUCAAUAACACUGCGGAGCCCAGCACACACCUAGGAGGAAUUCCAGCGAGGUCAGCAGUCACCAGCCACCACCUCCACAGACCUCCUGUGCCCAGGCACAGCUUGGGGCUGCAGAACCGCUGCGCACAGCGUUGAACUUCAUUCCUCUUUCUUUCACGUUUUUCUGUGCUAAUGCUCUCACACAUGGAUACCUCACCUGAAGCACACACAGAAAGCUUUGCAUCGCCAGCUGCCCCAGCGGGGCUGCAGGGCUGCAGCUCUGAGUACCGUGCCCAGGCUGGCACAGGGCUGAGCAGCCCCAGGGUGCUGAGACCUGGACCCAUGCUGUCACUGCAUGGCAUUUCUGCAAGUUCUUCAAAGGCAAUCUAACUGAAUCCCAGAUGUGGCUUCUGCUUUUUUUUUUUUUUUUUUUUUUUUUUUUAUGUUGUAGCACACCAAAAUAUCUAGAGACAAGUAGCUAAGGCUGUCAGUGUCUUGAAGGAGAUCACAGUCUGCAGCCGGCGCUCUGUGAAAUUCACAGGCUCCAUUUCUGGAAAGGAGGAUGCCGAGGACAUCCUCUGCGAACUCAUGCAGCCACCACCUCCCACCAACCAGGACAUGAAGCUAACUUCACGUCUGUAAAUGCAAACGCUUCAGAAUAACAAGGCUAUUGAAAAGAGUAGAUACAUUUUUCCUCAUUUUGCUAAAAUCCUGGAUCACCAGCUAAAAAAUGGAUCCUUGCAGGAGCCUCUCAGAUGUGCUGAGCCAAAGCCUGACUGCUCUGCACACCCCAACACAUCGCCCCGUGGCAAUGCCCACAGGGGCAGCGCAGACGGACACUGGAGCUAGCACGGCAUCUCCCCACACAGCAACUUUAACUCUGUCCUCUUUCAAUACAUUAAAAUGUGCUAAAUUGUCUGGUCUCCAGAGCUGAAGGCAAUAAAGGGAAAACUAGGGGGGAAAAAUGUAUAAAGCAAUUUUCCAUCCUUCUGACAACGUACCAUAGCUGCAAACAUUUUCUGAGAUUUUGCAUACACAACGUGAGGCUCCCAUGAAACUCACAUACUGCAAGUGUCUUGUAUAUUUUUCCUGAGGAACGCAAAAACCUGAUGAACCAAGCGGUUUGCUAGUCUCGCGUGCUCCAAAUGGUUAAUUUUGCUGAAAUGGGCAAGAAACCUCACAGCUGAUAAUUAUGAAAUAACGUGGCCACAGGGGAGUUCCCUCCCCAUUACCAUUGGUUAGGGAUUGUCUUAUGUCCUGGAGCAGUAGAAUUUUGAUUAUUUAAUUGAAAUUAUAUAUAUUAGCAUGGAUGUUCUUGUUAGCCAUAAAAUAAAAUAUCUAAUAUUUUCAAUCUUGUUGCAUCAACAUCUUGUGGCAAUGAACUCCAAGGGCUAAAAGCACAUUAUCUGCAAACAUCAUUGUUUAAAUUUGCCACCUUUCAGUGUCACUACCUGGAUGCUUGCAUUAGGAAAUAAAAUAAAAAUCGUAUAAAAAAAGGAGUGGGGGACAACAAAUAACUGCCUAUUGGCCUUCUUUCUCUCUUUUUAUUUUGUAACAAGAACAAAAAAAAAAAAAAAAGCUUUAACUGAGGUAGAAAAGUAUGGUCGGUUUUCCAGCAUGUCACAUAAUUUCUUGUCAAUUAAAGUUUCUAAAAAGCUCUAUCUUCUACUAACAGAUUUUAAAGCCAAGUGUUGGUAGUCUCCUUUAUGUCACAGGGCCAAUAAAUUCCCAAUGACCAAGUAAAAUCCCAGACAGACAUUUGUUUUAUGAUGUGUUCCAAUCAAAUGCAGGGGUUCCUAAGCUGGUGAUUACAACUGCUGUCACUUGUAUUUGCAGUAACUGCUUUACAUAUUUAUUUGGUAAAUCAAAAUAGAGGUUAGCUAAAGAAGCAAACCUACAACAAUAAAGUAUCUUCUUGUAAAAGGCUUUUACUGUUUUCAUUAACUUAUUAAAUUUAAACUCAUUUUUCCUAGUUUUCACUUCUGCAGUUAAUAACUUUUAUAUAGCAAUUCUAUAAUUACAUUAAUAGAAAGUUAAAUUUUCCCCCUUUCCCAUAGCAUUACAGCAUUAAUGGGAUAUUAACCAGUAAAACUGCACAUUAAGUCAACUCAUCUUCCACUGAUAGGGCACAUUUUAAUUUAAUGAUUUUGAAGUUUUCAGCUUUUUUUUUUUUUUUCAUUUUGUUUUGUUUGUUUGAUUGAUUUCUUUUUAAAAACUAUUGCCAAACUUCUGGUUUUCCCAGCAUACACUAACGCCUACGCAGGAGCCCCUUUAGCCUUCCAGUUGCCACAGGGCAGUUUUUCUUUGUGCCCUGAAGAGCAGCAAGAGCCAUGGGCACCACGUGGGC